CUUAACGGAGUUUUUUAAAGUAUGUUUUUGUACCGAAAGGUUUUGAUCUUAGAUUUAGUUGUUUAGAAGUGUUGUUUGGUCUGGGUAAGGUCUUGUAAACUAAAUUUAUGUGGUGAUAAGUGAGUCGUAAAGCUUUAUAACUGUUUGGUUGUUUAGAAUUUAGUGGGGUGUAGGUGGCUAUUAGGUCAUUUAUAUUUUUAUACAUUUGGUGAUGUGUGGUUUUUGAUAAGGUUAGAGGUACCUAGUUUUUGUUAUAUUGUUGUAAAUAUGGUUUUGUUGGUUUAUUGGUAUGUUAAUUGUUUGAACAACUGUUUUGUUAUAUUUGGUUAUUAUAUUAUCGUUGAAUAAGUAAUUUUAUUAUGCUAUUUAUUUCUUGAGUUCUUUCCGUCUGUUUAUUAAAAACAUUUCUAAUUUUAAUUGUAGUUAGUAGUGCCUGCCCAAUGUUGGUUAAUUAAUGGCCGCAGUAUAUUGACUGUGCAAAGGUAGCAUAAUUAAUUGCCUUUUAAUUGGAGGCUUGUUUGAAUGGUUUGACGUGAUUGGUAUGAAUAUUUGGUAUUUGGUUGAAAUUGAUUUUGAGGGUUUAGAAUCCUUAAUGUUUAAUAAGACGGAAAGACCCUAGGAUCUUUUGUUUUUGUUUGGGGCAAAUAUUGUUGUUUUAUGAAUAUUGUGACCCU
rnacentral:rRNA from 1 species